CCCGUGUUCUCCGUUAUACUACAAGUUCACUGUCGCUAUGUCUGUGCAUAAUGUGCCUAUUCCUCUGGAUGGUGCACCACCCCCCACUUUAGAGGCAGAGGUCCCUUCCUCUGACUUGCUACAGCAACUCACCAAAUCAAUGCACUCAGCCAUUGCGUCUGCUAUGUCAGCAGUCAACGCUAAUAUAUCCCGCUCUGUCUCCGUGGCGCUGGCUGCGCCUUGCCAAGAGGAGGCGACGGCGAUUUCAGUCCCGCCCUCUGUGCCCCAUGCUUCGACUCAGGCGCCCAGCCUUUUAAGACCCGGUAAGUCUAGCCGGAAGAGACGAUAUUGUAUAGACGUAAUUACCCGUCCCGUUGACUUGUCAGCUGAGGGAGACGGUAGUAGACACUCUAAGACCUCAGUACCGCCUGAGGAAAAUCAUGUUGCGGAUGUCAGACCCCCAGCCCACGGGGAUUACAUCAAUGGUCGGGCUUCUCGUGUUUCCAAGCGAGUUAAACCUAACUCUUUCGUAGAGUUGUCAGAUGACGAAUCUAACAUGACGUCAGAUCAUCAGGGCACGGAUUGGAGUGAGGAUGACGAGAGCCUAGAGGAGGAGGCGGGCCCUUCCUCUGCCCCUGCUCCCCAGGCAGAAUCCUCCGGAACCCCGGUGGACUCAUUGGGUGUCCCCUUUUUUAACCCGGAUGACAUUACUCAUCCUAGAUCCGGGGAGUGGACGCCUUCUCCCCAAGUGUCUAAGUACAUUGAAACUUGGCUACGCAGAUCGCUGGAUCGCGCGAACCGCAGCAAAUUGAGGGCGGAAUGCCCGAGGCCAUCUAUUGGCAGUAGUGUUGCGAAGACUCCCGAUCUGGACCCCAUCCUGGUCAGAUAUCUCCUCAAAUCGGGGAAGAACCCCAAGAAGGGGAUUGAUACUUCAAGGGGGUGCAAGACAAACUCCUGGACAUUCUGGGUCCAUUGACAAAAAUCUUGGACAUGUCCGAACAGGCGGUGGCUUCUGGCGCCCCUGUAGAUGCAGAGACCCUAAGGGGGUGGGCGUUGCGGGCGAUCUGUCUGCUCGGCAACGCCAACACGGCCAUGUUGGCGGAACGCCGCAGGUCUAUCUUGAUGCGCUUGGACCCUCAGUUGACCCAUUUGGCCUCUGACGAACCGGGUCCGAGUGCAGAAGGACUGCUCUUUGGCGACUCCUUCAUAAAAAACAUUAAUAAAUUUGUCGGGCUGUUCUCCAGCCUCGACAAGGCCCAGUCCUCUCUUAAAAAGUCUUCUCAGGGGAAGGUUUUCAACAGGGCUGGAAGGGGUAGGGGUCGCCCUUCCAGCCGUGGUUCGUAUUACCGACCCUACCAUAGAGGAACUGUCCACUUCACGCCAGACAGACAGCACUAUACACCCGCCCCACCUGUGCAACCGGUUACCCCGUUCUUCCCGACCAGAGGUCGUCCAAGGAGGGCUCGAGGUUCCACGCGUGGUUUUCCCAGAACCAGAGGCACAGGCUAUUGAAGAUUUUAUCUUGCAUGUCGAUUUUACAGUUGGAGUUACUCGUUAGUAACAUUGCUUCCAAUCGAACCUGCGGUGUCCCGACGGAAUCCCUUCGUUGAUGUUGAUUGAAGUUCCGGUGGAUAGUUUGGAGAUCCACGCUGUUAGUUCGGUUCCUGGUUUGGGGAAUCUUCAAGUGUCCGAGAAGUGGUGAUCUGUUCCAGUAAGAGGCUGCCUGACAUAAAGAAAGAGGAGGAGGAGGAGCUGCAGUCAGUUUAUAUAGGACUCCCUGUGUGUGGUCAUUGGUGGAGGAGAGAAAGGGGAGUCACUAUGGUUGCUAGGUACCUAGUUACCAGCAUUUUUUCUUUUUAUGUUGUUAACACUUGCAUUUCUUUCUGCUAUUGGGCAAAAUAAAGAAGGAAUAUGCAUCUGAUACUCACCUCCUGUCUUUAUAAAAUCUAAAUUUUCCGUCAUAAUACUAGGAAAAUCUUCAAUUAUUGUUAGAAAUUAACUGAGGGCCCUAAUUAUGAUCACCUGGUUCCCCCUGUAGGAGGCUUACAGGAUUACAGAUUGGAGCACAGUGGCAGAGAUUUAUCAGAAGCUGUGUAGACGAAAGCAAAAUGACCAGUUGCUCAUAGCAAGCUGAGUGUUUAUUUUUUUUAUUUUUUAGAGGCCUUUCCAAAAGUGAAAGAAGCGAUCUGAUUGGU